rnacentral:rRNA from 1 species
CUAACACAUGCCAGUCGAGCGGAUGAAGGGAGCUUGCUCCUGGAUUCAGCGGCGGACGGGUGAGUAAUGCCUAGGAAUCUGCCUGGUAGUGGGGGAUAACGUCCGGAAACGGGCGCUAAUACCGCAUACGUCCUGAGGGAGAAAGUGGGGGAUCUUCGGACCUCACGCUAUCAGAUGAGCCUAGGUCGGAUUAGCUAGUUGGUGGGGUAAAGGCCUACCAAGGCGACGAUCCGUAACUGGUCUGAGAGGAUGAUCAGUCACACUGGAACUGAGACACGGUCCAGACUCCUACGGGAGGCAGCAGUGGGGAAUAUUGGACAAUGGGCGAAAGCCUGAUCCAGCCAUGCCGCGUGUGUGAAGAAGGUCUUCGGAUUGUAACAGCACUUUAAGUUGGGAGGAAGGGCAGCAAGCUUAAUACCUUGCUGUUUGACGUUACCAACAGAAUAAGCACCGGCUAACUUCGUGCCAGCAGCCGCGGUAAUACGAAGGGUGCAAGCGUUAAUCGGAAUGUACUGGGCGUAAAGCGCGCGUAGGUGGUUCAGCACAGCUUGGAUGUGAAAUCCCCGGGCUCAAGCCUGGGAACUGCAGUCCAGAAGCUACUGAGGCUAGAGUACGGUAGAGGGUGGUGGAAGUGUUCCUGUGUAGCGGUGAAAGUGCUGUAGAUAUAGGAAGGGGACACCAUUGGCGAAUGGCGACCACCUGGACUGGAUACUGGACACUGGAGGUGCGAAAGCUGGGGAGCAGAACAGGAUUAGAUAGCCCUGGUAGUCCAC